rnacentral:ncRNA from 1 species
AGAAGGGUUCCACGUGAACAGUAGUUGAAUGUGGUUCAGUCGAUCCUAAGAUACUGGCUUACGCCUUGUGUCAUUGAGAGGGAGAAGUUUCUUUUCUCUCGGAUAUCACAAGGGGAUAGGGUUAAUAUUCCCUAAUGCAGACACAGAGAUUGCGGCUCUUUGAGUCGCUUGCGCGGUAAAGCAGUCGAGAACCGAUGCCCUAUGCCGGUCU